ACCGCAGGGAAAAUGAGGGACUUUUGGGGGCAGUUGUGUUUCCAUUACACUAUCAUAAUGCCCCUAAAAAUCCUUAUUGCUCUUGCAGUAUUC
rnacentral:pre_miRNA from 14 species